UGUAAGCGUAUACCAAAGUUGUUGCAGUUAAAACGCUCGUAGUCGGAAUUUGGCAGUUCCGGAUGUGUGCACGUCGUGUGCGCACUUCGCGGGGAUUGCUUUUGUGGUCUUGCGUAGGAUGAGGCACUUUUAUUAGUGAACGUCCUCACGCAACCACUUUUUACUGUGAGAAAAUCAGAGUGCUCAAAGCAGGCAUUUGCCGUGAAUGUAUUAGCAUGGAAUAAUAGAAUAGGACUUGGUUCUAUUUUGUUGGUUUGUUGGGACUGAGUAAUGAUUAAGAGGGACAGUUGGGGGCAUUUGUAUUUCGGUGCUAGAGGUGAAAUUCUUAGAUUACCGAAAGACAAACUACUGCGAAAGCAUUUACCAAGGAUGUUUUCAUUAA
rnacentral:rRNA from 1 species